rnacentral:piRNA from 1 species
AUGGGUUGCUCCAUUAGGGUCCUGCUGGGAUA